rnacentral:rRNA from 1 species
UACGGGGGGGGCAAGCGUUGUUCGGAAUUACUGGGCGUAAAGGGCUCGUAGGUGGCCAACUAAGUCAGACGUGAAAUCCCCAGGCUCAACUUGGGAACUGCGUCUGAUACUGGAUGGCUUGAAUUCGGGAGAGGGAUGCAGAAUUCCAGGUGUAGCGGUGAAAUGCGUAGAUAUCAGGAGGAACACCGGUGGCGAAGGCGGAUCUCUGGGCCAUUACUGACGCUGAGGAGCGAAAGCGUGGGGAGCGAACAGG